CUUUUUCGUGGCGUCAUGAUCGUGGUCUGGCAAAUAUUUGUAGUCAUUGGUGGAGGUCAGAAUCUCCACCGGGUGGUUUUGUGGUCUGGCUUUGCCAUAAAUCUGUUUAGUCUUUUAUGUGAACAGGUUCCCUUCCGUCAUUAGUUAUAAAGCUAAUAUGCUAACAGCUAGCACCAGGAAGAGACAAAGGGUUUAAAAUCCAACUAAUUUUUACGCUUUCUUGUGGCUCUAUCAGCACUGGAUGUGUAGUUGUUUAAUAUCAGUUUCCCUUUUUAAUAUCAGUAAAUAACAGUAAAAAUGGUAAAAGACAACACUCAUUAAUUAGGCCGGCUAGCUAGCAGCUGAACAGCUGAGCUUUG